rnacentral:rRNA from 1 species
UACGUAGGGCGCAAGCGUUGUCCGGAAUUAUUGGGCGUAAAGAGCUCGUAGGUGGUUUGUCGCGUUGUCCGUGAAAACUCACAACUCAAUUGUGGGCGUGCGGGCGAUACGGGCAGACUGGAGUACUGCAGGGGAGGCUGGAAUUCCUGGUGUAGCGGUGGAAUGCGCAGAUAUCAGGAGGAACACCGGUGGCGAAGGCGGGUCUCUGGGCAGUAACUGACGCUGAGGAGCGAAAGCGUGGGGAGCGAACAGG